UUCCGGCCCCAAAGGGGAGUUCCUCGCCUGGGGUCCCUUCCAAGGUGUAAACGGGGGGGUGCGGGCCCCAGAACAUCUAAGGGCAUCACAGGCCUUGUUAUUGCCUCAAACUUCCAUCGGCUUGAGCCGAUAGUCCCUCUAAGAAGCCGGCGUACUGCCAAAGCAAUACGGGCUAUUUAGCAGGUUAAGGUCUCGUUCGUUAUCGCAAUUAAGCAGACAAAUCACUCCACCAACUAAGAACGGCCAUGCACCACCACCCACAAAAUCAAGAAAGAGCUCUCAAUCUGUCAAUCCUCAUUGUGUCUGGACCUGGUGAGUUUCCCCGUGUUGAGUCAAAUUAAGCCGCAGGCUCCACCCCUGGUGGUGCCCUUCCGUCAAUUUCUUUAAGUUUCAGCCUUGCGACCAUACUCCCCCUGGAGCCCAAGCACUUUGAUUUCUCGUAAGGUGCCGAACGAGUCAAAAAAUAACAUCGUCCGAUCCCUAGUCGGCAUAGUUUAUGGUUAAGACUACGGGAAUAUCUGAUCG
rnacentral:rRNA from 1 species